rnacentral:rRNA from 1 species
AACAAACGCUGGCGGCGUGCCUAAUACAUGCAAGUCGAACGGGGAAAGCUUUCGGGUGAGUACUAGUGGCGCACGGGUGAGGAACGCGUGGAUAAUCUGCCUUAGAGUGGGGGAUAACUAGUCGAAAGAUUAGCUAAUACCGCAUAAGACCACGAGAGCUGCGGCUUUUGAGGUCAAAGGUUUUUCGCUCUAAGAUGAGUCCGCGUAAGAUUAGCUAGUUGGUGAGGUAACGGCUCACCAAGGCGACGAUCUUUAACUGGUCUGAGGGGAUGAUCAGUCACACUGGAACUGAGACACGGUCCAGACUCCUACGGGAGGCAGCAGUAGGGAAUAUUGCACAAUGGAGGAAACUCUGAUGCAGCGACGCCGCGUGAGUGAUGAAGGCCUUCGGGUCGUAAAGCUCUGUCGCAGGGGAAUAACACAAUGAAGGUACCCUGUAAGAAAGGAUCGGCUAACUUCGUG